AUGAAUAACCAGUGCGUGCCGAGCUGGGAUCUGGACGAGACGGUUGGCGCGGGGCUCAACCCGGUGUCCACCAGGUCGGCGCAGCGUAUGGCGUCUGGAGACAGCGGUCUGACGGGGCCGGUUGCCAUGCCCAUGCCGGACCAGUACGACGAGGUGGCGGAGCUGACGUGGGAGAAGGGCAACAUCUUCUGGCAGGGGCUGCUCAACCGGUCGGUGCCCAAGUACCCGGCCGCGCCGGCGCCGGCGCAGAUGCAUGCCAUCGGCGGCGCGGGUGAUCACCGGGAGACGCUCGAGGCAGUGGUGGGCGAGGCGGCCGCUCGUUUGUCGUCUCAGUCGACGUCGCACCUCGGGCAGCCGUUGCCUGCAGCUGUCGCGCCUUGGCUCGGUGUGGGCGCGCCAGCCGACGGGCUCGUGCCGUGCGCGAGGGGUGACGACCAGGCGGAGGGGGGCGUGCGGAGGAAGCGGGCACGGCAGGUCGGCGAGGACGGGCGCGUGUGCGCCAGCCAAGGUAGCGCCGCGCCCGGCCGCGGCGAGAGCUCGCUGCUCACUCUGGAGCCCUGCGGCACCGGCGCUGACGACUUGUGCGGGUUCACGACGACCAACAACUCCACGUCGCUGGACCACGGCUCCCCGGAGACGGAGAACACGAGCUUCGGGGGAGGCGCAAGCGACUCCCGCUGCUUCAGCCGUCGGUCGCAGAGAGACGGGCUGUGCGACGAAGCAGAGAACGUCGUGAUCAAGGGGGGAGCUCCAAUGAGGUCGUCCAUUUCCACUAAGAGGAGCCGGGCUGCUGCCAUCCAUAACGAAUCUGAGCGUAAAAGAAGGGACAGGAUCAACCAGAAGAUGCAGACAUUGCAAAAGCUCGUCCCCAACUCAAGCAAGACCGACAAGGCAUCGAUGCUGGACGAGGUGAUCGACCACUUGAAGCAGCUGCAGGCAACGGUGCAGAUGAUGAACCGGAUGAGCAGCAUGAUGAUGCCCAUGGCCAUGCCGCAGCUAGCCCAGAUGUCCGUCAUGGCCAACAUGGCCCAGAUGGCCCAGAUGGCGCAGAUGGGCCUGGGAAUGAUGAACAUGGCCGGGCCACUCGCGCAGCCCGCCUACCCGGGCCUCACCCAGCCCAUGAUGCAGGCGUCCACCCCUUUCGUCGCCAUGCAGCCCUGGAACGCCGGCGCCGGCGCCGACCGGCAGAAGCAGUCCGCCGCCGUGCCGGACGCCUACUCCGCCUUCCUCGCCUGCCAAGCGGCGCAGCAGAACACGCAGCAGCAACAGCAAGCUCAACCGAACGGCAUGGAGGCGUACAGCAGGAUGAUGGCCAUGUACCAGAAGCUAAGCCAACAGCAGACCCGGCCGGGCAGCUCCAAAGAGUGA
rnacentral:rRNA from 1 species